GCUGGUGUAGCUCAGCCGGUAGAGCAGCUGAUUUGUAAUCAGCAGGUCGGGAGUUCGAAUCUGUCCACCAGCUCCA
rnacentral:tRNA from 1 species